ensembl:lncRNA LINC00486 long intergenic non-protein coding RNA 486
GUGAAAAGAGAGUCCUGCCAAGGGCUACGAGGCAGAAAACUGAUAUUAUUAAAGUGGUCUUCUGAACGGUGUAUGUUUAAGCUCAGGCUGGAAAAGGAUCACUGAAAGUCACUUGGAUGGUGUCUCGUGUGUCUGUGAUGAGCUUGCUGUUGCUUUCUUUCUCCUUGACAGAUGAGAAAACAGUGGCUUCAAAGGUUAAACAACUUGUCUUCGAUUGCACAGCUAACAAGAGGUAAAACUGGAAUUUGAAUCGUGGUACUGUGACUUCAGAGGCCAGGUUCGUAGCGCUACACUAACACAGAGACCAGAAGAAGCCUUGACAUUAUCAUAAAACCACAGACAUGAUACAAGGCCAGGAAGAAGGAGGCUUGGGAGCUUAUUAGCUGAAAUAUAUUGAUCACCUUUUCACAGCUUUCUCUUAUUAUCCUCCCAAUGUCUCUGUGAGGACAGUACAGUUAUCACCCCAUUCUAGAGAUGAGGAAACUGAAGCUCAGAGGUGUUAAGAAACUUGUUCUAGGUCACACAGCUAGUAAUGCUUGGGAUCAGGAUUUGAAUUUAGAUUUGUCAUAUUCCAAAGUUUACCUAUAGUCUCAGCUACUAGGGAGGCUAAGGCAGGAGAAUUGCUUGAGCCCAGGAGUUUGAUUUCAGAUUGAGCAACAUAGUAAGAUCCCAUGUCAAAAAAGAAAAAUAAACAGGUGAAAUUAAUUUUAACAAUAUGCUUUACCUAACCCAAUAUAUGCAAAAUAUUACAUUUUAACAUGUAAUCAAUAUUUUCAAAGUUAAUAAUGAAUACCAGAAAUAACACAUGUGCUAAUAACAUGUACGCUGCAACACUAAUAUCUUACCUGAUACAACAGUUAAAAUCAAGUCCCACCAGAGCAAUAAAGUUGUGUCUACCAGAAAAAUAUUUUACACUGCUUCCAUUUUUAAAUUUACAUUUAAAUUAAUUGACAUUAAGUAACAUUUAAAACUCAGUUCCUCAGUCACACGGGCUACAUUUUAAGUGUGCAACAACCACAUAUGGCUAGUGGCCACAGUGGUGCUGGUUAAUGAGCACAGCUCUAAGCCUUCCUUGUGUGUUUUUUUAAAAAUUCAAUUCAGAUUCCACUUCCAUUGUUUGCUUGUUUAACCUUAAAAUCUGUGUGUUUUAACAGACCUGUGUUUAAGCCUUAUAAGUCCCAUCACAAAGUGUCAGUGGUUUGGAGAGAGGUUCUAGAACGUUCUCUUUGUAACAUUAUCACAAAUCUGUGGUUGUUAGGCUGCUCUUGGUUUAUGUUUGAGUUAAACCCUUUGUGUGGUGUCAGACCAAUUCAGGCUUAUGUUUUCCCCGGAGAGAGGAAUAAGCUGCUAUUUUGGACCCUGUCGUGAUCCCUGCCCAGAGUCAAAAGUAAUUCCCAAGCAGACUGAUUUUUACAGGGUCAUGCUCCUCUGAUCUUCUCUCCAGGAGUGUGAUUUUCAACGGGAUAGAGAAAGGCAAACUCCUGAGGAAAAAUUUCUCUGGGAAAGCCCAGGCUGAAGUCGAGGAGGGAAGAGGACGAAAGGCUGACAGGGUUGCCGUCUCUGAGGGAGAUCCACUCACACACCUCAGGAGGCAUUGUGGGAUGGUCAAAGUGGGGAGGAAGAAAGGGAAUCUUCGAAAGAAACUUGCGGCGGGGCACGGUGGCUCACGCCUGUAAUCCCAGCACUUUGGGAGGCUGAGAUGAGUGGAUCACAAGGUCAGGAGUUCGAGAC